UUCUUAUUUGUAUACUCCCUGUAUACACUUUUUUUUAUUUUUAAUAAACUAUCCUGAUGCCGUUUCCUUGUUCUGUUGAACCUUAAGUUGUCCUUGUGUCAUAGUUGGAGGUAUAGAGUAUAGACACUGAAUAUAUGGAAUGUUUCUUAUGAAUUGCAUUAGGAAAUUCAACUAAAAUCAAUGGGUCCGGUUAAUGUAUACCCUUAGGGCAUAUAUUAACAAAUCCGUUUUUGGAAUAUGCAGUUAUGAUUAAACUUCCAUUUGUGAUAAAGUAUGGCUAGCUUACGCAAUCAUGGAGAUCAGCUGAGUGUCUGCCACAACAAAUAUGGGGCUUUUUUGCAUUAUAUCUUUCUUUUUUUCCUCCUCUUUUGUCAACAAUUAUAGAGGAUAAAUUUUGAAAGUGUCCUUUUAUAUGGUCUGUAAAGAGAAGCGACUCUUGAAAAUGUUUCCCAACACCGUUUUUGGGACAUUGUGAAAAUCAUUAAUAGAUGAUUUGCGAAUCAAGAUGCUUCAGUGGCAGGCCAGCCAGGAGUAUAUGUACUUGAAGAUGGCAUUGAAGCCAGGCUUACAUGGAAUGUUGAGAGACCCCAUUUUGUGUCUUUACAUCUGGUGAAGAGGGUCAGAUAAAAUAUUAGUUUGUUGCCUCACUCUUGGAGCUAGAACCUGUUUGUAACCAGCAAAAUUGCUUAUUUGGCAUCAAACUUUCUCUGUGUACUAUUUUAUCUAAAGAAAAGCGCUUAAUUUCUCAUAUUACAUGAA